UAGUAUAAAAUCUAUCUCAUUUUUAUGG
rnacentral:piRNA from 1 species